rfam:Brachypodium distachyon strain Bd21 chromosome 2, whole genome shotgun sequence.
GUACUACUCUCUCCGUUCAACAAAGAAUGUUUUAAGUUUCUCAAAAUUUGAAUGUAUCUAGACAUGACUUAGUGUAUAGAUGCAUUCAAAUUUAGUCAAAGUUGAGACAUCUUUUAUUGGACGGAGGGAGUAGCAG